UACAGAGGGGGCAAGCGUUGUUCGGAAUUACUGGGCGUAAAGGGCGCGUAGGCGGCCUGUUAAGUCGAACGUGAAAUCCCCGGUCUCAACCCGGGAACUGCGUCCGAUACUGGCAGGCUUGAAUUCGGGAGAGGGAUGCGGAAUUCCAGGUGUAGCGGUGAAAUGCGUAGAUAUCUGGAGGAACACCGGUGGCGAAGGCGGCAUCCUGGACCGAGAUUGACGCUGAUGCGCGAAAGCCAGGGGAGCAAACGGG
rnacentral:rRNA from 1 species